CUUGCAGGGUACUCGAGUGGCGAACGGGUGAGUAACACGUGGGUGACCUGCCCUGCACUUCGGGAUAAGCUUGGGAAACUGGGUCUAAUACCGGAUAGGAACCAUCUUUAGUGUGGUGGUUGGAAAGUUUUUUCGGUGUAGGAUGAGCUCGCGGCCUAUCAGCUUGUUGGUGGGGUAAUGGCCUACCAAGGCGGCGACGGGUAGCCGGCCUGAGAGGGUGUACGGCCACAUUGGGACUGAGAUACGGCCCAG
rnacentral:rRNA from 1 species